UUUUAACUUUUUUUUCAUUCUCUUCUGUUUCCUCCUCUAUUUUUCUCCUUUCUUCAUUUUUUUAGCGUAGUUUUUCUAUAUUUUCCAUUUGUUAAAACUAGUCCACAAGCUUAUCUCAAUUGAAAAAAAUUAAAUUGUUCAAAAAAAUAAAAAAAAAUAAGGACUAGUUUUAACAAAUGAAAAACAUAAAAAAAAACUACGUUAAAGGAAAU
rnacentral:lncRNA from 1 species